UACGAAGGGGGCUAGCGUUGCUCGGAAUCACUGGGCGUAAAGCGCACGUAGGCGGAUCUCUAAGUCGGAGGUGAAAUCCUGGAGCUCAACUCCAGAACUGCCUUCGAUACUGGGGACCUUGAGUCCGGGAGAGGUGAGUGGAACUCCGAGUGUAGAGGUGAAAUUCGUAGAUAUUCGGAAGAACACCAGUGGCGAAGGCGGCUCACUGGCCCGGUACUGACGCUGAGGUGCGAAAGCGUGGGGAGCAAACAGG
rnacentral:rRNA from 1 species